CAAUAGCGUAUAUUAAAGUUGUUGCAGUUAGAACGCUCGUAGUCGGAUUUCGGGGCGGGCCGACCGGUCUGCCGAUGGGUAUGCACUGGUCGGCGCGUCCUUCCUUCCGGAGACCGUCCCUACUCUUAACUGAGCGGGGGCGGGAGACGGGACUUUUACUUUGAAAAAAUCAGAGCGUUUCAAGCAGGCAGCUCGCUCUUGCAUGGAUUAGCAUGGGAUAAUGAAAUAGGACUUUGGUGCUAUUUUGUUGGUUUCGAACACCGAAGUAAUGAUGAGAAGGGACAGUCAGGGGCACUCGUAUUCCGCCGAGAGAGGUGAAAUUCUCAGACCAGCGGAAGACGAACCACUGCGAAAGCAUUUGCCAGGGAUGUUUUCACUGA
rnacentral:rRNA from 1 species